CCUGCCCAGUGACCAGUUCAACGGCCGCGGUAUCCUAACCGUGCAAAGGUAGCAUAAUCACUUGCCCAUUAAUUGUGGGCUAGAAUGAAAGGACCAACGAAAUAAAUACUGUCUCUAUAAGCCCCCUAAAAAUUAAUAUCUAACUGAAGAGUGUUAGAUAAAAUCGAAGGACAAGAAGACCCUAUAGAGCUUCAUUAUAAUAAAGAUUCAUACUUUACUAAAAUUCGGUUGGGGCGACCAGGGAAAAUUCAAAUCAUCCCUAACUAUAAGAUUUAUUAAUCGUAUAAAGACCCUUAUUAAAGAUCACAAAAACAAGCUACCUUAGGGAUAACAGGCUAAUCCUGCUAAAGAGUCCUUAUUGAUAGCAGGGGUUGGCACCUCGAUGUUGGCUUAGGGAAACUGUGAGGCGCAAAAGUCUCAUAAAGAUGGUUUGUUCAACCAAUAAUUCCCUACAUGAGCUGAGUUCAGACCGGCGUAAGCCAGGUUAGUUUCUAUCCUCGAUAACCUCAACCUAUCUAUAGUACGAAAGGACCUAGAUAGGAUAAAACUUAUAUAUUAUAGACCCAAUAUAAUGACAAUUUAACUAAAAAUCACACAUCCUA
rnacentral:rRNA from 1 species